rnacentral:lncRNA from 1 species
CGGGACCUCGGCAGCCUCGGCCAGGAGGAAGCCGCGGGCGGAGGAUCAGACGGAAAGCAGUUGUGAGAGCCACAGGAAAAGCAAGAAGGAGAAGAAGAAAAAGAAAAAGAGGAAACACAAGAAAGAGAAGAAGAAGAAAGACAAAGAGCACAGGCGGCCAGCUGAGGCCACCUCCUCUCCCACAUCUCCUGAGAGGCCCAGGCACCACCACCAUGACUCCGACUCCAACUCCCCCUGCUGUAAGAGGAGGAAGCGGGGACACAGUGGGGACAGGAGGAGCCCGUCUCGCAGGUGGCAUGACAGAGGCUCUGAGGCCUGAUGGCUGGACCCUGCUCACUGCUGUUGUGGGACCCUGAACCCUCCCUUCACCUUGCUUGCCUCCUGCCUCGGAAGCUCCUUGGGUGUGGGUGAAGCCCGAGGCUGCUCCUGUGGAAGUGGCUCUGGGCACCAGCCUGUGGGGCUAAAGACUUGACAGCUAGCUCUGGAGCAGCCGGCUUCCUGGAAAACCUCCAGGUUUCGCAUACCAGGGAUGGCCCCUGGCUUGGCCUGCGAAGGUGAACCUGCCCAGAUUUAUCAGUAGAGGCUGGACUCCCUCUGUGUCCUGCCCAUGGUUGCAGCAGCCAUGGGCCUAUGAGCGGUCUAACUGUGGCCAAGUAUGGUGACCUCUAUUUUUCUUUAUAUUGACUCUUUGUAUUUCAAUAAAUAUAUUUU